UUUACAUGAAAAUUAUUUCAUGUAUGACAGAGCAGAAGAAGAAGCAAGACCCUAUAAGGAAGUAUGUGAUCAACUCAGCAGAAAUACAAGCCUCCUUUACAGAAAGGCCACAAUGAGGACUCCCCAUAGCCUUCACUUCUAAAAGCUUAAACAAGCCAGCUCCCUCCGCUUUCCUUCAUAGAAGAGAUGCUACAGACCUCCCUCUGAUCAUGGUUAUAGUCUUCAGCUGGACGUACUGCAGUAGCUCUGCACCACACCUGUACUGGGAGCCCCAGCCCUGGAUGCCGUACUUCAGAUAGGUCCUCAUGAAGGCAGAGCAGAGGGAGACAAUCCCAUCCCUCACCCUGCUGGCCACUACUCUUUUGAUGCAGUCUAGGAUGCUGUUGGCCUUCCAG
ensembl:lncRNA